GGUGGUUUAGCUUAGUGGCACAAGCACCUGCCUGUCAAGCAUGAUGUCAAGAGUUCAAUCACCG
rnacentral:tRNA from 1 species